rnacentral:lncRNA from 1 species
UUCGGGAGGACGCACGAAUCAAGAUGAAGGAUCGGUGUGAAGAGAUAUAGAUAGAGAUACGGUUGUUCAAAUAUGUAAAGAGAUAACUUAUACUGAAAGACAGUAGAUUUUCUUGUAACCGACUAGGAUUAAAUCGAAUCGGAUUUGUAACCCUACCCCUCAGACUAUGUAAGGCGGGCAAGGACCCCUUCGAAAAUCCAAACCAUAUUCGAUACACUAUACGCUGAGAAUACAAACCCGAGCGCAGGACGUAAGUAUUACACCUAUUCGGUGGCCCGAACCUGGUAAAAUCCUGUGUCCUUAUGUUCAUCCAUCAAACUCUGCGUACGAUGAUCC